rnacentral:lncRNA from 1 species
AAUUAUGUGAUAAAGGAAGGGGCAAAUAUGUAAUAAGUGAGGAGUCCUUAUUCUAUAAAAUGACUCCUCACCCUCACAAUUGAAGGAGGCCAAUUCCUAGACCCUUUCACCCCUUCUCAAAGCUCUCACUCUCAGAGCUCUCUCUCCCUCACCUCUCAGAUAAAUACAUAAUCAGUGUGGACGUAGCCCAAACCUUGGGGUGAACCACGAUACAUCUUGUGUUAUUUACAUUACUUGCAGAUUCACGGUCGGAUUUACGUUGUUCCAAGACCUCCGGUUUUGUACAUCAACAUUUGGCGCCGUCUGUGGGAAACAACACGAAAAGCUAUGUUGGCUCUCUUUCAUUUUUCCAUCCCACCACCAUGAAAACUUCACAACCUCCACCGUGAAUCUGCGCAACCCAAAAACCCAAAACCUCACUCUUUGUCUUUUCUAGAAAACCUUUGCAUGCUCUCUCUCUCUCCGGAGUCUCACCAACAAUGGCGGCAAGCAGCACAUUCUUUCUCUUUCUUGUAGUUUCUGUUCUUGUCGUCUCUGCUUCAGUUGGUACCCAAACUUUCAUAUUUCUGAAAGGUCAGGGAUGACAAAGAUGUACCCAAACAGUGCAAAUGCCAAUAUCGUCCAUUUUUACGAGCCUCGGAGGCUCAACAAUUAUGGCUUCGACGACGAAACCACAACGGUCAUCAUGAUGUGGAAGAAGUCUGUGCUGCUCAACUACAAUGGGUUCACAGUGUUCAACCCCAAGAACCCCUACUGGUUCAACAGUGACCGGUUCGUGUUGUCUGCUGGACACGGUUGUAUGUUGCAGUAUGCUCUGCUCCACCUUGCUUGAUACGACAGUGUCAAGACAUGGACACGUCACGCGUUGUGUACAAGAUCGAUAAGAAUCACCUGGGGUCUGACGUGGCAGACGAAACAGCCGCUGCUCUCGCCGCUGCUUCUAUCGUGCCGUUAAGAUGUUCGAGGUUACUGACGUGGUUUCUAUCAUCGUUGCUCUCGCUGCUACUUCUAUCAAUAAGGCACCUGCAGUUGGUGCAUCAGGAGCAGUCUUCGGAUUAGUUGGAUCUCUUGCUGUGUUUGUCAUGAGACAUAAAGGUUUGGUUGGACGUGGUAAAGAAGAUCUACAGUAGAUAGCACACUUGAUUGUCCUAAAUAUGGUUAUUGGUUUCUUCUUCAAAGGCAUUGAUAACUGGGGACAUGAACGACUACUUUGGUUAAACAGUCCACAAACUAACAACGGUCUACAUCACUCCUCAGUCUAUCCUGUCUCAGUUACUUUGGUUCAACAAGUUCCUGGAAAGUAAAGGUGAUACAAUUCAGAAGCUUGGGGUCAGUAGGGUUACUAGCUUUCUGCAGGACUGCAGGAGGUCUCAGAUGAACUUGUUGUUAUUCUGAUGAUUGAGGCGCCCUCCCAGGGCAGUAAGGAGGGUCGGCUUCCCACUUCUAGAUAGCCUUAACAUGGCUAGCAGAAGAUAAGACUUUAUUGUUUUCUUUAUGAUUAUUCCUCAAUUAUUUUAUGAAUGGUGCUCCACUUUCCCCAAAAAGCAACGGGAAAAGCCACGGGAAUAAGAAGAUAAGAGUCCCACAGCAGCACUAGUAUUGCAAAGCGUCUGAUCUUCUAACAGUAAUGUGGAGCUUGCCGUCCUCAAUAUUAAAAAAAAAAUGAAAAGCAAUAAAGAAGAUGCCCCCAUUUUCUGAGAAAGCAAAAGGGAAAAGAGAAAAGCAAAAGAAAAAGCAAAAGUAAGGAAUAAACACCCCACCAGAAUGAUGUGGUUUACUUUUCUUGUUUUUGUAUGAUUUAAUUUAUUUUUCGUUUCUUUUGGAAACAUCUGUAUAAACCCCAUCAGUGGGUAAUAAUAAUAAUACCAAAAAAAAAACAACAAAGCCCAAAAUAAAUGGGCUGGAAUGUUAUGUAGAGGGCGAAGGCCCAUAAGCCCAAAAUAGCCACUAACCAGGUGAUCAAAAGUACGCCUAGUACUCUACAAUUAUUCGGCAACCCGCCACUAUUACUACCAACCAGAUGAUGAAAUGUACAUCCCGUACUCUAAUAUCAUUUGGCAACUAGCCAUUCAUGCCACCAACCAGGUGAUGAAAUAUACAACCCGUACUCUCCUUCAUGCCACCAACCAAGUGAUCAAAAGUACGCCCAGUACUCCAAAUUAUACAUGAGCAUUACUCAUGUCAUUCAUAUAUAAAUAUUCAUGAGCAUCACUCAUGACAAUCAUACAUAAACAUUCAUGACCAUCAUUCAUGUCAACAUUCAUGACCAUCAUUCAUGUCAACAUUCAUGAGCAUCACUCAUGUUAACAUUCAUGAACAUCACUCAUGACAACAUCCAUGAGCAUCACUCAUGUCAAUCAACAUAAACAUUCAUGAGCAUCACUCAUGACAAUCAACUUCAAAAGCUUCAUUUACAGAGCUCUAGCUUCAAAGCUUCACUUGCAAAGCUUCACCUACAAAGCUUCAGUGCAAGGUAUACAAAUACCGCCUCUGAACAACCGCCACUUCGGCCCAUACAUGGAUUCAAUUUGAAGUCUCCAGCCAACAGACUCUAUUGAUCGAAGACUUAGGGGACUACAUUAUGUACCAUAUAUUGGGCCUCAACUGGGCCUCAUGAAAAAUACUCGGGGGACUUAGCCCAUUAUUUAUGUAUUAAGGAGCGAGCCCUUAUUCUAUAAAAGGGAUUUCCUCACUUUCAUUAUAGAGCACCCAUUAUUCAUGUACUGAGGAACGAGCCCUUAUUUUAUAAAAGGGACUCCCUCACCAUUAUUAGAGAACAUCGCCGCCAACUGAGCAAUCGUCUCGUCGCGAGCAUUACUCCUAACCCAUCACUUAUGUACUGAGGAGCGAGCCCUUAUUUUAUAAAAGAGACUCAUUCACCACCAUUAAAGAGCAUCGCCGCCUACUGAGCAACCGCCUCGCCGCGAGAAUCAACUCUAGCCCAUCAUUUUAUGUAUUGAGAAGCGAGCCCUUAUUCUAUAAAAGGGACCUCAUCACCUUCAAGUGCCACAAGCCGAGCCAACCAAGGCAACAUAAGCCACGAGCCGAGCAGCCGAGCAGCAUGUGCUACUUGUAGUUGAGCAUCAUUUCAGAUUGAGCACCGCCUCAUAUCGAACAUCAGUUUAAGACAACAUCUAGUUACUUCGGCCCACACAUGGAUUGAAUUUCAAGUCUCCAGCCAAAAGACUUUCUUGACUGAAGACUUGGGGGACUACUGUUUAUACCAUAUUUAAGGCCUCGUAUUUAGAUCUCGUACAAAUACUCGGGGGACUUAAAUGUAAUUAUGUGAUAAAGAAAUGGGCAAAUAUGUAAUAAGUGAGGAGUCCUUAUUCUAUAAAAGGACUCAUCACCCUCAUAAUUGAAGGAGGCCAAUUCCUAGGCCCUCUCACCCCCUCUUAAAGCUCUCACUCUCAGAGCUAUCUCUCCCUCACCUCUCAGAUAAAUACAUAAUCAGUGUGGACGUAUCCCAAACCUUGGGGUGAACCACGAUACAUCUUGUGUUAUUUACAUUACUUGCAGAUUCACGAUCGGAUUUACGUUGUUCCAAGAUCUCCGGUUUUGUGCAUCAACAAAGUUAGCCAUUUAGGCUUUCCAUAAUAAGCCGAUAUUGAACUUAUACAAGAAUCACACUCCUAUAGUGCCCUGAAAAGUUGAAUGUGUUACUAGUAAAUUAAACAUAUGAGUUCAAUAUAUUAAACUCAUGAGCGUGAUGAUAUCACAUUAGUGUUGCAGCAGUACUACUACAUAUGAUCUAGUGAUAUUGUUUCCAUUUGUAAGUAGGAGGUCUUAAAUUCAACUCUUGUGGAUGGCAAGUUUGACACCAGAUUAUGAUUGGCUUAUUGUGCAGCGACUUCUCUCACGUUGUAUUAAGAAACAAAUAGGUAAAACCUGAAUAAGGGUGGGUUGAUUGGUUAUUAAACGUCGUCUUAAUUAAAAGAAAAAUCGAGACCUAAACAAAAAGUAAAUUUCUUUGACAAAAAAAAAAAAGUAAAUUUUAAGAAGCCGGGAAAAUUCCCACCAACGAAAUCAAGUUUGUCGACUAAGAACUUCUCUACCUUCAAAAUAUUUCGUAGGCAAUAACCUAAGUUGUUGGGAAAAAAAUGUGCGCCAAAAGCCGCAAUAUGCGUGUUUACUUGCAAAAAUUUCGACAGGCGAAAGCUCUUGUGCCAACAAAAUUUUACUUUAUUGGCAUAGAAUUUGUCAGCAAAAUGAUAUUUAAUCCAGGUUGGGAAGGGAAAGUCAGCAUUAAAUACUUGACUUGCUGGGCUUAAAUUGCAUUUAAUGCAAGAAUCUAGUUUUAUCCUAACUAAGGGAGUUGGCUUGUUAGAGAAAGGGGUAAACUAGGCUAAUUCUGUCUCAUUGAUGCCUGCAUGAAAUACAAAGGGUAUGAGCUUGGAUCUUUGGGCACCAAGCAGCCCAAAGUCUUCCAUGAUCCCGAUUCCACAUAGGCCCGAUAACCUUCUGUAACCAUCCACACCACAAUUCACUUGACAAACCCCGAUGUGAAUUGGGCUUAGCAUGAAUAGUGACUAAGGAAGCAUGGUGUGAUGAAUAGGUAUGAGCAUGACGUGAAUAUCCAGCUAAAUCACUGUGGCAUGGCAUGUUUGUAAAUAUAUUCCUCGUCGCUCCCGUGCCUUGGAAUGUAUUUGGGCUUGAAUGUAGGCUUUGCAUGACAAUUGGGCCUUAAGACUUAGUUGGAUUGGUGUGUGAUAUUUUUGGGCCCCAACAACACCAAAUUAUGAUUGGCUCAUUGUGCACCGAAUUCUCUCACGUUGUAUUAAGAAAGAAAAAAGAAGGUAAAACUGAAUAAGGGUUGAUUGGUUAUCAAACGUUAUUUUAAUUAGAAGAAAAAUCGAGACCUAAACAAAAAGUAAAUUUCUUUUACAGAAAAAAUAAACAAAAUGUAAAUUUUAAGAAGCCAGAAAAAUUCCCACCAACGAAAUCAAGUUUGUCGACUAAGAACUUCUCUACCUUCAAAAGAUUUCGUAGGCAAUAACCUAAGUUGUUGGGAAAAAUGUGCGCCGAAAUCUUAGCUGUAGUAUGUGUGUUUACUCGACAAAGCAAAAAUUUCGUUAGGUGAAAGCUCUUAUGCCGACAAAAUUUUACUUUAUCGGCUUAGAAUUUGUCAGGAAAAUGAUAUUUUUUAGUAUUGAAAGUAUACUUUAACGCAUUGUUUACCAUAAGUGAUGGGUUUAUAGUUUUGAUUUAUUGGUAAUUCACUUACUAUUAGCCUAUCAUGCACACUCAAAGCUAAAAUAUAUAUAAACCUCCCCUCCAUAUUCUCUUGUACAAAGAAACUGAAACCAAAAAAAAAAAAAAAAACAUCCAUCAAUGUUAGUUGAUUUCUCUUGAUCCCAUUUAGUAGUAGUUUCUCAAUAAAAAAACAUGAAGUGUAUGGUUUUAUGUAAAUGAAAAACAUGAACUGGAUCGUUUUAUGUAAAUGAAGUUAAUACAAAACUCUUAAGGAUUUUAGUUUACUUUUUUAUAUUCUUGGCAAAAAGAAAAUAACUUUAAAGUUCAAAGCUUCUAGCGCAACCAGUGCAUAAAGUAUUUAACACUAUAUCAUUGCGAGUAAAACACAAAAACUUUCACUUAUCAUAAAGCACAUUCAACAUUAUAUCUAAUGCAAUCAUUACAUAAACGGUGUGUUUGUUGCACCGGAUUAUCUCGGACUGGACUAGUUUCCGGGACUAAAUUGGACUGACUUGGCUUGGACUAAACUGGAUAAAGAUAGUGAAGUAUUUGGUGUAGUGCCGGACUAAACUAUAGACUAAAUUAUUUUUAGGAUUCAAAUUAUUUUUUUUAUCAUUUUUAAUUUACUUUUUCCUUGAAAAACAAUAAACAAACAAAUUUUAUAUUAUGAAAUAUAAUUUAGUAGUUAUUUAAUUUUUAUAAGCCUAAUUAAUGCUUCACCUAAAAGUUUGUCAAUUACUUUUUAGACGAUGAGAACCCAGAUAAUUUGCAAAGCUCUCUCUCUCUGCCUCUUCGUAAUCUUCCUCUUGCCCUCUUUGCUUCCUAAUAAAUCCAUUGCAAUUCUUAAAAUCAAACCAAAGAGCAAGAAAGAGAAUGAAAAUUUAGGAGUCAAGGUGGGGUGCAUGUGAUUGGCUCGAAGGUGGGAGAUGGGGGUUGAAUCUGGUUUCGAUUUUUGGGUUUUCUCAGUUUGUAGCUUUUUUGGGUUUUCUGGGUUUCUGACUUUUUUGGAUUUUCUGGGUUCAAAUUUUGGGAGUUGAAUCUGGUUUUGAAAAGGAAUAGGCUGCAAAAUUCCACGAAAUGGGUUUACAAAACUCCACGGAAUGGCUUUCACAAAUAAUGAGUUUCUGAGAGAAAAUGAGUUUUCUGGGAAGAAAAAAAAAUAGGAGUCAACAUAUACAAAGUGGAGAACUUGCAAAUGGGUGAACAGGGGAGGGGCAAAGCAGAGGUGAUCUUAGCAAUCCGCCCAAUUUUCGAGGCGGCACCGGGGGGGGGGGGAGGCAGCCUCGCUAAGACAGCCUAGUGAGGCGCUUAGUCUAGGCAAGUCCCAUUUAGUCUCAUUAAACCUAUUCCUCCCUGUAAACAAACAUGGGAUUUCACUGACUAGUAAUCCUAGCCAGUCCAGUGAAACUUAAGGAGGCCAAACAAACACGCCAGUAUUCAACUUGAGUUAUACUUGAGUAAAUCAAACCCUACACUUAUCACAAAAAUAAAAAUUAAAUGUGUCCUAAAAGACGAAUUAUCAUGAGAAAAGUGUAAUUCAAAGGAAGGUCAGAAAAUUUCUCAUCCAAUGCAACCAAAUGUGAUUGUGUGUUUAGGGGACCUGAAAGAAUCUCUUAGUAUUACAAUCUUUAAUUUGAUAUGAUUGGGGGUGGUUUGUUUUGUUUAGGGGACCUAAGAGAAUCUCUUAGCAUUAAAAUCUUUAAUUUGAUUUGAUACGUUUCCUUCAAUUCAAAGUAAAAGUUUUCCUAGAGUAAAAAAUAAUGCUUGGUAGGUUAAAUUAUCGAAUUUGUCAUUCAUAAGAAAUAGAGUGGUAUUAACUUAUAAUUACCACUAGAGAUAUUUAAAAAAUUUGAAAUCAAUAAUUGCUACAAAGAAUAAGAAUAGUCAAGAAAAAGUAACAUUUGUUUUUCUCUUUUUUUUUUAUUUAAGAAAAUUGGAUUAUUUGUUCUCGAAUGAUUACUUAACUUAGAUUUGGUCAAUUAACCAAAAAUUCAUCAAAUUGAAAUUUGAUUUCGACAAAAUGUGAAGCAUCAAUCUAUCUAUUACAACGUUGUGUAUUAUUUAAGAAAACGAGAGUCGUAUUCUCAGUAGUUAAAUAACCUUUUGAACCUUCUAAAGGUCAUUGAUUUUAAAUUUUUUAUCAAAUAAUGGUAUUGCUAAACUGAGUAAAACAAUAUUUAAAAAAAAAAAUAAAUUAAUAAUACCAAACAGGAUGAAACUCAUUUUUUGAAGAAACUCACUCACAAAUAUUAUGGUCUGUUUUU